rnacentral:piRNA from 1 species
UAAAUUUGGCUGCCAAUCCUCAGCAGAUC